rnacentral:rRNA from 1 species
GACGAACGCUGGCGGCGUGCUUAACACAUGCAAGUCGAACGAAGUGGCGAACGGGUGAGUAAUGCAUAGGAAUCUGCCUGGUAGUGGGGGAUAACGUCCGGAAACGGGCGCUAAUACCGCAUACUAUCAGAUGAGCCUAGUGCGGAUUAGCUAGUUGGUGGGGUAAAGGCCAACCAAGGCGACGAUCCGUAACUGGUCUGAGAGGAUGAUCAGUCAGACUGGAACUGAGACACGGUCCAGACUCCUACGGGAGGCAGCAGUGGGGAAUAUUGGACAAUGGGCGAAAGCCUGAUCCAGCCAUGCCGCGUGUGUGAAGAAGGUCUUCGGAUUGUAAAGCACUUUAAGUUGGGAGGCGUUACCAACAGAAUAAGCACCGGCUAACUUCGUGCCAGCAGCCGCGGUAAUAC